UCAGCAGGAGGGCUGCCUGGGUAAGAGGAAGCACUGAGCCGAUGGGUAUAAGGCCAUGGGUGAGCUACCAGGAAAGAGGGGGGGACAGUGGGGGUAGAGCACUGAGAUAGUUGGGGGGAAGUAUAACAAACUACUAAAUUGUUUUGGCUGCAUAAUUCUUCAUAGUCUUUCCUAGUAGGGAGCCGGGGGUGGGCGCGGGGGGCGGGGGGGAGCAGUGGGCAGGGGAAGACACACACGGGGAAGAGCUUACUUGCACAGAGCCCACCAGUAAGCUUGUAGGUAUGAAUGCCAUUGUUAUUGUUUCAAAGCCAAAGGACAUUCAGAGCCUCAAGGUUGAGGAACUGUGUUUAACCAGACAUGUGACACUCACGUUCUUUCUCUUCAUAACAUUGUCUGACUGGAUAUUAACUAGUGUUACACAAACCCGACAUGUUAAUGGGCCUGAAAAAACGUAGAAGAAUGGGCUGGAAUAGGAAGAAUAGGGGAGUUUCCAAGGCAAGAACAAAAACGCAUGGCUCCCAGCCGCACCGCUAACUCCCUCUGACCUCCGUUGUGGAAGAGUUUGAAUCUUCGCUCCCCUUUUCUCCACCUACUAACAUGUUUAUCUUCUGGCAACUGGUUCUCUAUUUAUCACAACGUGGUUCUUUUUUUUUUUUUUUUCAAAUUGAGAUAUAGUCCGCAUAAUAGAAUAUGCAACGUUCUAAAGUAUAUAGUCCAAUGGUAUACUUCGACAGACAAUAAUCACUGCUAAUUCCAGAACAUUGUCAUCACGCCCCUCAAAAGAAAUACCAUACCCAUCAGCCUUUACUCCCCAUUCUCCCCUCCUCCCAGACCCCUGGCAACAACUAAUUUACCUUCUGCCCCUAUGGAUUUGCCUAUUCUGGACAUUUCAUCGAAAUGUGUGUCUAGUUUCUUUCACAUAGCUUGUUGGCUUCAAGAUUUACCCGGUUGUAGCAUGUUUCAGUACUUCAUUCUUUUUUUUAAUGUUUAUUUAUUUUUGAAAGAGAGCGCACACACAAGCGGGGAAGGGGCAGAGGGAGAGGGGGACAGAGGAUCCAAAACCACAGAGCCUGAUGUAGAGCUCGAACUCAUGAACUGUGAGAUGACGACCUGAGCCAAAGUCAGAUGCUUAACCGACUGAGCCACCCAGGUGCUCCAAUCACAUUUUGUUCAUGCAUUCAUGAGUUAUUGGACAUUUGGAUUAUUUUGACUUUUUGGCUCUUAUGAAUAAUGCUGCUAUGAGUAUUCAUGUACAAGUUUUUGUGUGGUCAUAUGUUUUUAAUUCUCUUGGGUACAUAGCUAAGAGGGGAAUUGCUGGGUCAUGUAGUAACUCUAUAUUUAACCCUUUUGAGGAACUGCCAAACUGUUUUCCACAGUGACUACACCAUUUUACAUUCCCACCAAUGUAUGAAGAUUCUGGUUUCCCCAAAUCUUGCUACCACUUAUCAUUGUCUCUCUGUUCGAUCAUAGCCAUCUUAGUGAGUGUAGAGUAGUAUCUCAUUGUAGCUUUGAUUUAUAUUUCCCUAAUGACCUAAGACAUUGAGCAUCUUUUCCUGUGCUUAUUGGCCAUUCAUGUAUUUUCUUUGGCGAAAUGUCUCUUCAAAUCCUUUACCCAUUUAAACAUUUGAUUAUUUGUCUUUUUACUGAGUUUUAAGAGUUCUUUAUAUAUUCUGGAUAUUCUGGAUACUAGACUUGUAUCAGACAUAUGAUAGUUUGGGGUUGUUUUGUUAUUUUUAAAUAAAGUCCAGUUUAUCUAUUUUUCCUUUGGUUUGUUGUGCUUUUUGUGUCAUGUCUAAGAAACUGUUGCCUAAAUCCAAGGUCAUAAAGAUUUCUCUCCUGAGAGUUUUAUAGCUCUCCUGAGAGCUCUUCCAUUGAGGUCUUUGACUCAUUUUGAGUUAAUAUUUAUAUAUGGUGUGAAGUGUAGGAAUCCAACUACAUUAUUUUGUAUGGGGGUAUACGUUCAAUUUGGGGUAUAGUGCCAUUUUAACAAUAUUUUCUUCUGAUCCGUGAACAUGGCAUAUCUUUACAUUUAUUUCAAUCUUCUUUAAUUUCUUUCAACAACGUUUUGUGGUUUUUAGUGUGAUUCUUGCACUUCUUUGGUUAAAUGUUUUCCUAAGUAUUUUAUUCUUUUGAGUACUGUUACACAUGGAAUUGUUUUCUUAAUUUCAUCUUUGGAAUAGUCAUUGCUGAUGUAUAGAAAUAAAGCUAAUUUUUACAUAUCGA